UACGAGGGGGGCAAGCGUUGUUCGGAAUUACUGGGCGUAAAGGGCUCGUAGGCGGCCAACUAAGUCAUACGUGAAAUCCCUCGGCUUAACCGGAGAACUGCGUCUGAUACUGGAUGGCUUGAGUUCGGGAGAGGGAUGCGGAAUUCCAGGUGUAGCGGUGAAAUGCGUAGAUAUCUGGAGGAACACCGGUGGCGAAGGCGGCAUCCUGGACCGAUACUGACGCUGAGGAGCGAAAGCCAGGGGAGCAAACGGG
rnacentral:rRNA from 1 species